GACGAACGCUGGCGGCGUGCCUAAUACAUGCAAGUCGAACGAGAGCGCCCGGUGCUUGCACUGGUCAAUCUAGUGGCGAACGGGUGAGUAACACGUGGGUAACCUGCCCAUCAGAGGGGGAUAACAUCCGGAAACGGAUGCUAAAACCGCAUAGGUCUUCGAGCCGCAUGGCUUGAAGAGGAAAAGAGGCGCAAGCUUCUGCUGAUGGAUGGACCCGCGGUGCAUUAGCUAGUUGGUGAGGUAACGGCUCACCAAGGCCGUGAUGCAUAGCCGACCUGAGAGGGUGAUCGGCCACAUUGGGACUGAGACACGGCCCAAACUCCUACGGGAGGCAGCAGUAGGGAAUCUUCCGCAAUGGACGCAAGUCUGACGGAGCAACGCCGCGUGAGUGGAGAAGGUUUUCGGAUCGUAAAACUCUGUUGUUAGAGAAGAACAAGUGCUAGAGUAACUGUUAGCGCCUUGACGGUAUCUAACCAGAAAGCCACGGCUAACUACGU
rnacentral:rRNA from 1 species